GAUGAACGCUGGCGGCGUGCCUAAUACAUGCAAGUCGAGCGAACGGACGAGAAGCUUGCUUCUCUGAUGUUAGCGGCGGACGGGUGAGUAACACGUGGAUAACCUACCUAUAAGACUGGGAUAACUUCGGGAAACCGGAGCUAAUACCGGAUAAUAUUUUGAACCGCAUGGUUCAAAAGUGAAAGACGGUCUUGCUGUCACUUAUAGAUGGAUCCGCGCUGCAUUAGCUAGUUGGUAAGGUAACGGCUUACCAAGGCAACGAUGCAUAGCCGACCUGAGAGGGUGAUCGGCCACACUGGAACUGAGACACGGUCCAGACUCCUACGGGAGGCAGCAGUAGGGAAUCUUCCGCAAUGGGCGAAAGCCUGACGGAGCAACGCCGCGUGAGUGAUGAAGGUCUUCGGAUCGUAAAACUCUGUUAUUAGGGAAGAACAUAUGUGUAAGUAACUGUGCACAUCUUGACGGUACCUAAUCAGAAAGCCACGGCUAACUACGUGCCAGCAGCCGCGGUAAUACGUAGGUGGCAAGCGUUAUCCGGAAUUAUUGGGCGUAAAGCGCGCGUAGGCGGUUUUUUAGUCUGAUGUGAAAGCCCACGGCUCAACCGUGGAGGGUCAUUGGAAACUGGAAAACUUGAGUGCAGAAGAGGAAAGUGGAAUUCCAUGUGUAGCGGUGAAAUGCGCAGAGAUAUGGAGGAACACCAGUGGCGAAGGCGACUUUCUGGUCUGUAACUGACGCUGAUGUGCGAAAGCGUGGGGAUCAAACAGGAUUAGAUACCCUGGUAGUCCACGCCGUAAACGAUGAGUGCUAAGUGUUAGGGGGUUUCCGCCCCUUAGUGCUGCAGCUAACGCAUUAAGCACUCCGCCUGGGGAGUACGACCGCAAGGUUGAAACUCAAAGGAAUUGACGGGGACCCGCACAAGCGGUGGAGCAUGUGGUUUAAUUCGAAGCAACGCGAAGAACCUUACCAAAUCUUGACAUCCUUUGACAACUCUAGAGAUAGAGCCUUCCCCUUCGGGGGACAAAGUGACAGGUGGUGCAUGGUUGUCGUCUGCUCGUGUCGUGAGAUGUUGGGUUAAGUCCCGCAACGAGCGCAACCCUUAAGCUUAGUUGCCAUCAUUAAGUUGGGCACUCUAAGUUGACUGCCGGUGACAAACCGGAGGAAGGUGGGGAUGACGUCAAAUCAUCAUGCCCCUUAUGAUUUGGGCUACACACGUGCUACAAUGGACAAUACAAAGGGCAGCGAAACCGCGAGGUCAAGCAAAUCCCAUAAAGUUGUUCUCAGUUCGGAUUGUAGUCUGCAACUCGACUACAUGAAGCUGGAAUCGCUAGUAAUCGUAGAUCAGCAUGCUACGGUGAAUACGUUCCCGGGUCU
rnacentral:rRNA from 1 species